UGCCAGGUGGCUCAGUGGUAAAGAAUCUGCCUUCCAAGUAGAAAACCUGGGUUAGAUUCCUGGGUUGGUAA
rnacentral:tRNA from 1 species